rnacentral:rRNA from 1 species
GACGAACGCUGGCGGCGUGCUUAACACAUGCAAGUCGAACGGGCCCGCCCCUGUUUUUGGGGGUGGGUUGAGUGGCGAACGGGUGAGUAUCACGUGAGUAACCUGCCCCCUGCUCCUGGAUAACUGCUUGAAAGGGCGGCUAAUACGGGGUGUGCCGGCUGGUCCGCAUGGGCCUGGUCGGGAUAGUUUCAUCUUCGGGUGUUUCGGUGGGGGAUGGGCUCGCGGCCUAUCAGCUUGUUGGUGGGGUGAUGGCCACCAAGGCGGUGACGGGUAGCCGGCCUGAGAGGGUGGGCGGCCACACUGGGACUGAGACACGGCCCAGACUCCUGCGGGAGGCAGCAGUGGGGGGUAUUGCACAAUGGGCGGAAGCCUGAUGCAGCGACGUCGCGAGGGAUGGAGGCCUUCGGGUUGUGAACCUCUUUCUCCGGUGGUGAAGGCCCUGUCCGUUGCGGCGGGGUUGACGGUAGCCGGGUAUGAAGCGCCGGCUAACUACGUG